GUUCCGAUUUCAAAAAAAUGGGAACCGGACCGGUAAAGAAUUAACGGUUAACCGGUUCCGGUUACCGGUUUUAACCGGUUCAACCGAACCGGUUGACGGGUUUAAUGCACACAUUCAAGAUACAACUUAUGUUUAAACCAUACCCCUGUUCCUUCUCUUAAAACAUACAAAAAAAGAACCAUCGCCCUUAUUCCCCUGCCUUGCACUGCACACAAACCACACCUCUACAUCAGUUUCGACCAUCAGCGCGUACUUCCCCAAUCUCGCUAGCAUUCAGGUUUAUAUGAUUGAGAAGUGAUCAUGAAGAAAUCAAGUGAAAAACAAGUCAAAAAGAGGUCAAAGUGAAGAAAAUGACAAAAAACUGGACAGUUUUUCCAAAUCUGGGCAGUUUUCAAAAUCUGAAAAUAUAGGGCUGUUCUGGUCAUAUUUUGAUGUGGAAAUAUUGGGGAGUUAUAAAAGCAACACUUUAAGGAAAAAAUCAGGAUCUUUGGCCAUUUUUACAAGCUUUGGAGCUAGAGUUUUACACCACACCGUUGGAGGAGAAGAUUGAAGCUCUUUAAUGAUAAAUUUCUCAAUCCUUUCUUCAAUUCCUUGCUUUGUAUUGCAUAUUUAAGUGUGUUGUAUUUUAUUCCAUUACUUGAAACUUGUUUAUGAAAAUAUACAUUGUUAAAGUUUUGGAUCAAACUCUUGUUAUGCUUAUAUAUUGAAUGAUGUUUAUAUCGAA